CGGUGGCAGGAGGCGGUAGAACGUGCGGCGGAGGCGGAGGAGCAAAAGGAAAAGGAGGCCGGGGAAGAAGGAAGAAGAGGAAGAAUAGGAAAGGAGAGAGAGAGAGAGAGAGAGAGAGAGAGAGAGAGAGAGAGAGAGAGAGAGAGAGAGAGAGAGAGAGACGUCUUAUCGUUCGUCAAUGAGAUUUUCCAUAGUCGGUUGAACGAAAAACGUAUUGUAUCUAGUUUCUCGCAUUAUUUGAUAGAGCUGCUUUUUUUUUUUUUUUUCGUAUUUUUCAUAUCCUAUUCGACGAAUAAAUCUUUUUUUUUAUUAAAAUUACUCUACGACGUUUUACCGGUGGACGCCUAGCUUUUUUUCCUUUUAUUCGUUAUUUCGACGAUAUAUAAUUUUAUCUUAAUAGAGAGAUUUCAUUUUUAAUCGGGAAAAUUGUUCAAAAUGGAAAGACUCGAUCGAGAUAACGUAUCAUCGAUGAAGGUAUAAUAUAUCGUCGAUAAUCGUUGUUUCCGUUACAAUAUAUCUAUUUUAUUUUGAAUAAUUCUCCCCUUAAAAAUGAUAAUUUGUAUUAUCGUUUUAUUUUAUUGGAAUAAAGCAGCGAUAUCAAGGAAGCGGGCGAUUCGAGGAGAUUUUUAUUGAUCGAGGAUCGAGGAUUGAGAAACGAAAGGAAAGGAUAAGACGUGAAUGAGAUCGUGCCGAAAGAGGGGGAAAAGGAAGGAUUCGGAGGGAAUCCGUUUAAACGAGCUUGUACACCGCAGCGGUGUUAUUAUCCUAAGUAUACAAGAAUAUACAGUAUUCGCGCUUUAACUUAGAUUAUUCGCGUCGUAUCAAAAUAAAUUUUACGUGUAUGUUUGUCGCGUGUAUCGUCACGCGAGCCGAGGAAACGAGCACAAAAUCGUUGAACACGUCAACUGAUUGAAACGCAAAACUUUCGACGAGCCGUUCGCGCCCCGUUCUUAAUCCUAUGUAAUAAUUUAUUAUCUAACUGUAAUAUUAUUAUAUUUGUAUUUAUUCAGAUUAUUUAUUUUAUUUUUGUAAAGAUUUUACAUGUCCGAUCAACUGUAUUUAAAGUGUCUAGUUGAGCUUAAAAAUUAUCUAGAGUAUAACAGAGAGAGAUACAGAAGGAUAUAUAAUUAUAAUUAUUAUUAUUAUUAUUAUUAAUUAUUAUUAUUAAUUAUUAUCAUUAUUAUUAUUAAUAUUAUUAGUAAAAUUUUUUAAUAGUAUCGUAGGGGAAGAAGAAGGAAACGCACCGAAGCGGCCGACGCCAUUUUACGUUACGCGCCGCGCUGCUGCUGCAAUCUCCCUUCGCUUCACGUAUCUUUUUCACGGUAUGCGAAUAUAGAAAUUUAUUUGAAAGACAACGAUUGGCAAAAAUUCGUUUCUCUCGUAUUUUUUAUUCGUUGCGAGGAUUAUAUCCUGGUAAAAAAAAGCGUAAAAAAAAAAAAAAAAAAAAAAAAAAAAAAAUGAAUAUUCGGUUAACAUUAAAUCGAUUUUUUUAUCCGACAUUGAUUCGAUGGAUGGCCUGUUAGAAAAAUUCUUCUUUUUCUUCUUUUUUCUUUUUUCUUUUUCUUUUUUUCCCCCUUUUUUUAUACAUAUAUAUACACACAUAUAUAUACAUAGCAGAGAGAGAGAGAGAGAGAGAGAGAAAGCUUCAUACUUCCGUUUUAGAUCUAGCGAUAUCCGAGACUGUUGCGAACCGAACGAAACGCCAUCUUCUACGAUACUCGAAAGCGCUAUGUUUUUAUCUUAAAAAUAUCUUUUAAUCUCUGGAGAGAAUUUUAAUCGUUCGACUCAAUUCGAUUUUAUCUCUAUCGAUUUUUCUAUCAUUUAAACCUUUUAUCCAAACCUGUUUUUUUUUUUUUUUUUUUUUAUUUCAUCGACUUUCGUGUCUAGAAGAGAGCGUCGCGUUAAGUUUUGGCGUCGAUAUUUGCUCGAAGACGGCCGACCUCACAGAUCUUUUCGUACUUACGAUUUAUCCUCGAAGCUUAGAGACAAGGUUUAAAUCCAUGUUGUGUCCUGUAAAAAAAAAAAAAAAGAAAAAAAAAAGACAGAGAUCGUCGUACUUUUUACGUACUUUUACGUUUUAAUUCUCGUGUCAUCGGCGGCCUAUCAAGCUUAUCAUAGGUAAAGAAGAAGUUGAUAAAAGUGUUCGAAAAAAAUUCACGGGUUAAUCGUAUUGUGUGAUUUUCUUUUCCUUUUUUUUUUUUUUNUUUUUUUUUUUCCCCUCUUAAGUGUACGCGCAUUAAACGAAACUUUGAAUUUUCAUAUCAUCGUAUCUGUGAUAUGCAUCGCCCUUCGUAAGAUUUAUCAUCUUUGAAUCGCACUGAGUCUUCUGCCGAGGGAGAAGUAGAGAGAGAGAGUAUACGAGAGUGUGUGCUUUAAUUUGAAAUAACGAGAGAGAGAGAGAGAGAGAGAGAGGGAGAGAAAGGCCGAUCUAUGUGGCAAUGUCGAUCUCAUAAAUCGAUCUCGAAUACGCAUUUUCCAUUUUAUCACCGCUAUUUUAUAUGUUUUUUUUAUUUAAUAGAUCAUUUAUCGUUUAAAAGUAUCGAUCAUUUUCUAGCAUCUUUUUCAUUUUUUUAAAAUAAGAAAGACUGCCACUGUUUAAGUUCGAUCGUUUCAAAUAAUCGUGGAAUCGAGAUCUAUUUAAAAAUUAUUGUUCGUUCGAUCGGAAAUUUUUUUCUUUUUCAAUCAAAUUCGGCAAUUUAAUAAUUUUCGAUCGCAAGCAGCAGCGCAGCUUGUUCGAGCGUCGUCGAUUAGCAAAAUAAUCCUACCGAUUGCCGAUAUACGAAUGCUGUUUUUAUUAUUAUUAUUAUUAUUAUUAUUAUUAUUAUUAUUAUUAUUAUUAGUAUUAGUAUUAUUAUUAUUACUAUUAUUAUUAUUAUCAUUAUUAUUAUUACUAUUAUUAUUAUUAUUAUUAUUAUUAUUAUUAUUAUUAUUAUUAUUAUUAUAUAUUCCAAUCGACGACACAAUCGAAAUUCACAAUUCUAUUAAAUUAUCGUGAACGCGGGUAUUUUGUUUCUCCGGUUAUAUUUCUCUACAUUAGAAAACAGCGUACCCGCGUGUAAAGAUACGUGGAACGUGCCGUGCAAAAUGAUACGAUGCAUCCACCUUAUUCUCCAACUGUUCUCCAUUAGAAGAAUCCGUUUCUAUCCGAACGAUAGGAAAGAAACAAUCGGUAUUAUCGAUACGAUCGUAAGGAAAGAAAAAGUAUCGAUUCGGGAUUGACGAGUUUUGCAGGCACGUUCCGCGGGAUCGAUAUACGCGCGAUAUACGGCAAAUUGUUAUGUAAGAUAAUUAUCGGAUCGCUUGGUAUAACGUUGUACAUAAACGGAUUUGAUGAUAUAGAAAGCUACGAAAUAUAAUUAUGUAUGUGAAUAUGUAAUAAUAUGUACACGGGCCCCUCCCCCGCAACGCCCGAUUGCUCUGUUGUAUCAUAUUAAACCAAAGACAGUUUGAACACGGAA